UCUUCCGUAGUAUAGUGGUCAGUAUAUGAGCUUGUCAUCCGCCCCUGUGGUUCGGCUAUUCGCUCGGGACCCGGGUUCAAUUCCCGGCGGGAGAG